UCCCUUAGAUGUUCUGGGCCGCACGCGCGCUACACUGAUGCAUUCAACAAGCCUAGCCUUGACCGAGAGGUCCGGGUAAUCUUUGAAACUGCAUCGUGAUGGGGCUAGAUUAUUGCAAUUAUUAAUCUUCAACGAGGAAUGCCUAGUAAGCGUGAUUCAUCAAAUCGCGUUGAUUACGUCCCUGCCCUUUGUACACACCGCCCGUCGCUCCUACCGAUUGAAUGUGUUGGUGAGGAGCUCGGAUUGGCAGCAGUUGGUGGUUCGCCACCGGCUAUUGCUGAGAAGUCCUCCAAACCGCCCCAUUUAGAGGAAGGAGAAGUCGUAACA
rnacentral:rRNA from 1 species